UACAGAGGGUGCAAGCGUUGUUCGGAAUUACUGGGCGUAAAGCGCGUGUAGGUGGCGAUGUAAGUCGGGUGUGAAAUCCCUUGGCUCAACCAAGGAAGUGCACUCGAUACUGUGUCGCUUGAGUAUCGGAGGGGACGGCGGAAUUCCCGGUGUAGAGGUGAAAUGCGUAGAUAUCUGGAGGAACACCGGUGGCGAAAGCGGCUCACUGGACCCGAUCUGACACUGAUGUGCGAAAGCUAGGGUAGCAAACGGG
rnacentral:rRNA from 1 species